GAUGAAGAACGCAGCGAAAUGCGAUACGUAAUGUGAAUUGCGAAUUCAGUGAAUCAUCGAGUCUUUGAACGCACAUUGCGCCCCCUGGUAUUCCGGGGGGCAUGCCUGUCCGAGCGUCAUUGCUGCCCUCAAGCACGGCUUGUGUGUUGGGCCCCGUCCUCCGAUCCCGGGGGACGGGCCCGAAAGGCAGCGGCGGCACCGCGUCCGGUCCUCGAGCGUAUGGGGCUUUGUCACCCGCUCUGUAGGCCCGGCCGGCGCUUGCCGAUCAACCCAAAUUUUUAUCCAGGUUGACCUCGGAUCAGGUAGGGAUACCCGCUGAACUUAAGCAUAUCAAUAAGCGGAGGA
rnacentral:misc_RNA from 1 species